AUGAUUGCUCUUCUAAAAGACCUAGGCGCAAGCAAAAAGCUCAGUACGAUAAUCGAAGGAGAAUCCUUAAUGAACGAUAGUGUUGCUCUGGGCCUUGCAUUUGGAAUCGCAUCUCUACUAUGGCUGGGCUUUAUUUUCGAUGGUACAAUCAUACAGAUUUCACUAACACUCGCAGUCAGAUAUAUGGCUUUCUUCACUGUGGCAGACAGACGCGCAGGCAUGCUCUCAAUCUUCUCUGACUAUUUGUGCCAUCCUUCCCACCGAAGUAUUACUAGAAAGAGAAGCUAUGAAGACAUAUGUGCUGGAUGA
rnacentral:rRNA from 1 species